UAGGGAAUCUUCGGCAAUGGGGGGAACCCUGACCGAGCAACGCCGCGUGAGUGAAGAAGGUUUUCGGAUCGUAAAGCUCUGUUGUUAAGGAAGAACGAGUGUGAGAAUGGAAAGUUCAUACUGUGACGGAACUUAACCAGAAAGGGACGGCUAACUACGUGCCAGCAGCCGCGGUAAUACGUAGGUCCCGAGCGUUGUCCGGAUUUAUUGGGCGUAAAGCGAGCGCAGGCGGUUAGAUAAGUCUGAAGUUAAAGGCAGUGGCUCAACCAUUGUAGGCUUUGGAAACUGUUUAACUUGAGUGCAGAAGGGGAGAGUGGAAUUCCAUGUGUAGCGGUGAAAUGCGUAGAUAUAUGGAGGAACACCGGUGGCGAAAGCGGCUCUCUGGUCUGUAACUGACGCUGAGGCUCGAAAGCGUGGGGAGCGAACAGG
rnacentral:rRNA from 1 species